CAACUGGAUGUGCAGUGAGACAGUUAUAAUAAGCUGAAUGCCAUGAAUUAAUCCAUACUUUUUUUUUUUUUUUUUUUCCACAGGGGCACUGAAGCUAAUAUAUACUGGCAUUAGCUUCGGUAAUUACUCUAUGCAGGUGCAUAUAUUUGCUAUGCUUGUAGCCAGCUUUGAUGCUGCUCCAACACAAGCUGUUAGUAGGGAAAGGAAGGCAGCUGUGGACCUCUGAUGUCAUCCCAUCAGGAUGGAUGUUUCUACUGGAGUGCUGCAAAAUGUCUAGCUGUAAAAAUGAAGUAACAGAAGGCCCCAAAUGAGGCAAUAUUAAAGGAAAAUUUCAUAUGAAAUCUAAUGGUGCAGGCAGCAGGUCCAGCAUUAUUGCUCAGCAGAAGUACAGGAGAAGGACUAUUCCCAGGGCAGCUCCAACUCUACAGGGGAACGUCUCCUUGGAUGCCAGGACCAUCAUCUGCCAACUCACACCUCCUUCAGUGAUAUAGGGUAUAUUUUAAGAAGCUUCUCUUUCCCCAAAACAUAUAACUAUGUUGAAAAGAAAAUAAAUAAGCAAAAUUCAAGUAUCUCUGCUAGUACUAGAAGUAGAAAAGCAUGAUUUCCUGCAGAUUUGUCCAAAGCUCAGGUCAAAAAUAGCUGGCACAGUCCCACUGUCAAACAAAACAUGCAAUUGCUUGAGGAAAAAAGUACUAUGAAAAAUCCAGAUGAAAACAGGGGCUUAGCAAGAAGUUUAAUAACUCCUUGUCCAGACUAAUUAGAAAUAGUGGAAACAUUCAAGUAGGAACAUGCAAAUAAUAUAAAGUUGUCAGGAGCUGUUCCUAAGUGCUAACUACUGGGACCAUUCAGCUACAUUGGCAUUCGCCGGUCAAAACAGAAUGUGUUCGGUGGUGAAUGUGGUAAAGUUGAAGUGUUUUGUGUUUUAUCUCAACAAAUAAACCCA